rnacentral:RNase_P_RNA from 1 species
CAUAUGAGGCAGCCGCUGGUCCGUCCAGAGGAAAGUCCAUGCUCGCACUGUCUGAGAUGACAGUAGUGAUUGUGCCGGUCCAAUCAAUAAGGCCGGGCAUCUGAAAAGAUGACGGCGGAGCAGAAGCCUAAAGGUUCAUCCCAUGGCCGAAGCCCUUAAGGUGCCACAGUGACGAAGCCGCGCGGAAACGUGACGGGUGGAACGAGGUAAACCCCGCAAG